rnacentral:misc_RNA from 1 species
GACAGGACUAUUAUAACAGAGGGAAAAGGACGCCAACUUCUGGAUAGGGGAAAGUAUGCCAUAUUUUUGCCCUUCCAUCGUUCUAGUGAACAGAUAUAUAUAUAUUCUAUUCUCUUCGCAUAAAAGUAUCCUACAGCAUAAAUUAAUAGAAUUAUAGCUAAUUAUUUCCACAAAAUAAUAAAGCUAAUACCCUGUUUGGAAAGAGGAAGUGUAAG